UNGCCUUGGGAUUUGUAGUACGUCUCUGCA
rnacentral:piRNA from 1 species